UACGGGGGGCGCAAGCGUUGUUCGGAUUUACUGGGCGUAAAGGGCGGGUAGGCGGCCACCGCAAGUCAGUUGUGAAAUCUCCGGGCUUAACCCGGAAAGGUCAACUGAUACUGCGGGGCUAGAGUGCAGAAGGGGCAACUGGAAUUCUCGGUGUAGCGGUGAAAUGCGUAGAUAUCGUAAGGAAGACCAGUGGCGAAGGCGGGUCUCUGGACAGUUCCUGACGCUGAGGCACGAAGGCCAGGGGAGCAAACGGG
rnacentral:rRNA from 1 species